GCGAAACUGAAACUUGCAUUUACUUACGUAAAGUAAUUCAGUGUAACGUUAUACCAUCGCAGUAACUUCUAUAGUAGCUAAAGACUGUGAAAGCAUACUGUAGAAACGGGGUCAAACUCUGAAUGAAUUCGUGUUGGUUAAAGUUUCACAAAGAGAGAAUGAAAACCAAUGGAUACUCUGAUCAGAGGCUUCGAUCUACAGUGUCACAGUCCACAAUCUUGCUGAAAUAUUUCGAUCCAGUCGACCCACCAGUAACCAGCUGGCCUCAAUGGGUCAUCAGUGACCAAAUCUGCACUGAGAGCAUAACUGAGGCACAAACCAUCAGCAACAUGUGUUUUCUGCUUCCUCAACUGCAGCAGGCCUAAAAGUGAUAAUCCCCCAAUCAAAGUGAUGUUCUCAGGAAAUAACCCAAAUGUUUUCAAUAUGUGACUGGAGGGUGGUUCCUUUUUAACAUGAGACUACUCUGUCAGUCUCAUUGCAUUAACUGUGGCUCAUAAAACCUCUUCUGACAAUAAAUAGUCUGGCAACAUGGAGCCAGGACAGAGAGUGAGGACAGACAUGCCAAGUCUGAGGGCAAUCAGUUUGUGUCAAUUAUUUUUUAUCUGUUGACCUUCCUUUAACCAGGAUGGACUCUUUAAGAUCAGAAUUGAAUUACCACCAUCUGAAUAAAGACAUUUUGUGCUCUUAAUAUGCAUACUGUGAGAUUACCUUGAUGAUUUUUUUACCCCCCCCCCCCCAAAAAAAAAGACCUACUUGCUGAACGUCAAUAUUUUCCAGCAGUGUUUACCAUCUCAUUAAACCCUGAUAUUGUUAGGGUCCAUGCUUGUGGGAAAUCACAGCUCUGCUACAGUGUGGUAAUGUGGCUCCAGAGUAUUCGUUAUUCAAGUAAGCUAAUGAGAGAGCAGGGGUGGGGAGUUGUUUAUCUUGUUGACACUGAUUGUUUACCGACUACCUUCCUCCCUUUUGCAAGCACCCCCCACCUCCCACUUCAUUCUUUAGGCCAAAGGUCAGUUACUGUAGUCUGCUUUCCACCAUUUUGAGACCACACUUUAAUCAGGAUUAGGCCUGUUAAUGCCACUCCACUCUAGUGUAACUGGAGAAAGGGCUGAAGUCCAUGGAGGCAUUUUGUAUUUUCUGUCUGCAGGCCUGGGACCAGAUUAUUGUUAAAGGGGUAAAAUCGAGCCAUAUAGGCUGUGUCAGCACUGAAAGAGAUGCUAAAACCCUGAGCCGAUAGAAUUAAAGCCCAUUAAAAGGCUAAGAUCUGAAUUCCAGCGUUCAUGAUCCAUACUGAACACAGGUCAUAUCGUAUUAGCAUCAGCAUGUUCUGAUUGGUCUUGGGACACAUCUCACAUUCACUGGACUAAUUAUAUCCCAAGAGAAAAAAAAGGUGCUCCAGCUUGCGUGACUUCACACCUGCAAUUCACAAUUUUCCAUUGGGCUUGAGCUUGAUUUAGCUUGAUGCAACACACCACAUGGUUUGCAUAGUAGACACCAACACAAAUAGCCUUAGUCACUGAAAUUACAUGUUCCAUCCCCUCUCCCUGUGCAUUUACAGGAGUAUCCGAUGUGUCAUAGCUGUUGAUGAACCAAAGAAAUACA